rnacentral:rRNA from 1 species
GGAGCAUGUGGUUUAAUUCGAAGCAACGCGAAGAACCUUACCAAGGUCUUGACAUCCCGAUGCUAUUUCUAGAGAUAGAAAGUUACUUCGGUACAUCGGUGACAGGUGGUGCAUGGUUGUCGUCAGCUCGUGUCGUGAGAUGUUGGGUUAAGUCCCGCAACGAGCGCAACCCCUAUUGUUAGUUGCCAUCAUUCAGUUAGGGACUCUAGAGAGACUGCCUCGGUUAACGGGGAGGAAGGUGGGGAUGACGUCAAGUCCUCAUGGCCUUUAUACCCAGGGCUACACACGUGCUACAAUGGGCUGCACAAAGGGUCGCUAGCUCGCGAGAGUACGCUAAUCCCAAAAAGCAGUUCUCAGUUCGGAUUGGAGUCUGCAACUCGACUCCAUGAAGUUGGAAUCGCUAGUAAUCGUGGAUCAGCACGCCACGGUGAAUACGUUCCCGGGCCUU